CCUGGCUCAGAUUGAACGCUGGCGGCAGGCCUAACACAUGCAAGUCGAGCGGUAACAUUUCUAGCUUGCUAGAAGAUGACGAGCGGCGGACGGGUGAGUAAUGCUUGGGAACAUGCCUUGAGGUGGGGGACAACCAUUGGAAACGAUGGCUAAUACCGCAUAAUGUCUACGGACCAAAGGGGGCUUCGGCUCUCGCCUUUAGAUUGGCCCAAGUGGGAUUAGCUAGUUGGUGAGGUAACGGCUCACCAAGGCGACGAUCCCUAGCUGGUUUGAGAGGAUGAUCAGCCACACUGGAACUGAGACACGGUCCAGACUCCUACGGGAGGCAGCAGUGGGGAAUAUUGCACAAUGGGCGCAAGCCUGAUGCAGCCAUGCCGCGUGUGUGAAGAAGGCCUUAGGGUUGUAAAGCACUUUCAGUCAGGAGGAAAGGUUAGUAGUUAAUACCUGCUAGCU
rnacentral:rRNA from 1 species